rnacentral:tRNA from 1 species
GGGACGGCAACGACGGUGGUGUUGCGGCAGACUGUAAAUCUGCUCCGAAAGGUUAACAUUGUAGGUUCGACUCCUACUCCCUUCACCA